UCCAGAUGGUAAAGCAUGCCACACAGCAGCCCAAGCUUGGGUAAUGUUCAUCUUUGCCCUGCAAGUCUUGACACAUGCUGGCUCCAGGGUCUCUCCAGUCUGGCACAGCACUGGAAGGCAAUACUAACUGGAGGAGGAAUAGCUAUUGAAUGAGGAGGAAAAGAAAAUUACUUCCCAUUUUUUACAUGGUCUUGAGAAAUUGGCUGAGAUAUUGAUUUAUGGGAACAGUGGUAGACAUGAGCAGAUCAAGGUUAUUGGCAAUGUGAAAGAGUGACUGCUUGGAAGGAGCCAUCAGAGACUGGAAGGGGAACAGGCUGGAUUGUAACACCGUAAAAUGAAUUUGUUAAAUCAUAUGAUAGUCUACCUGAGGUGACAUCUGUUCCCAGAACAGUAAACUGUGGAUAAAAGAAGAAAGCGGAAGGACAAAUGGGAUCAGGCUUACUAUCAUUCAUUCCACCCAGCAGGUGCCAUCUCCAUUUAACUGCAUAGAGUUGCACAGGAAAUAAUAUUAUUUGCUUCUUUAGGCCUCAGUUCAGCAAAGUACUUGAGCACAUCCUUAACUCCAAAAGAGUCCCAGUUCUAGGCAAAGAACUUAGACAUGUAAGUAUGGGAUAUAGUUGUGUUUCCUGAGUAGACAUGAAGUUGGGUCUCAGGUUCUUUUCAUUUCAGUUCAAUGCAUUCAAAGCACUUAUGUUCCUUUGUAUCUUUCCAGCUUGUUUUAAUGUUAAUACCUGUUUGCUCUCUUAUUUCAGAGCUGUCAACUGUCCCAAACUGACCAUCCAUACUAAACCAAACCAAAACCCAACUGAAUAACAAUUUUAUGAAGGAACAGAGUUUUCUGUGUCUCUUCUAGCCUUAUGUGUCUGGGGAGGUCAGUUUCUUUUUCUAUUCUUUUUUUUUCUCCUGUAUUCUCAUUGGCUACUCUAAUUGGCUCCUCCAAUUGGUUGCUCUAAUUGGAGAAGUACACGAACAGUGUAAAACGUUCAGGUUUCCAACCAAUCUGGUUGUGUCUGGCCAUAGCUGUGCUUCAAUCCUGAAUUAAUGUUGUUUCUAAAUUAAUUUUAAAACUUUAUUAUUGCUUUUCUUAAGUUUUCCUCUGUUUUUGCUGUUACUGGAACUUCUAAAUUUCUUGUUUCUUCAUAAUGCUAUUAAUAUCAUUAUCAGAAAUAAAUAUUGAGCAAGCAUGCAUCAGGGCUUCUACUCACUUCUCAUGGAUCACAAAGAAUGUAUUUCUUUCUUGCUACUUUCAGAAAUGUGCUUAUUUUUUCCUGGAAACUUCAAACUUUCUCUGAAUAUUACAGAAAUAGCAAUGUUGGCAGGUUGUAAUGCAAGGAUUUAAAGGAACUGAUACCCAUGAUCUUACCCAAUCUCUUUUGAUGGCAUUUUGGAUGUGUUCUUUGGACUCUUAUUCUUGUUAGAAGUUCUUGGGUACUGUUCUGUGACUUAAUUUCUUUGUUAUUGCAAAUGACUGGACCAAGUAGUCAUGUCUUCCAGUAUUGUGAUAUUAAUUCUAAUAUCUGCCAACAUCUAUUAUUUGAGUGAUUAAAAAAAAAAAUUUCUUUAUUU
rnacentral:lncRNA from 7 species